rnacentral:lncRNA from 1 species
GAAUGAAGACCAUUCUCAGCAACCAAACUACCCACAUUCCGGAAAAUGCCUACCUGACUCUGAGGGGAUGCAAUGACCGUGAACCCUUUGUAGGCACUACAAUAACAUCAAUGUAGGGCUGAGUCUCCUCGAAAAGAAAUGGAGGCUCCAGUUGAACAGGGUAGGAAACAUACAUACAUGAGCUGGCUGCUACCUGAACCAUCUGUAGCCAGGCCCAGAUCAAGCCCAAGGCUGUUAGAACCAGCUUCCAUUUCAAGCUCCACGUGAGCCCAUGUCUGUGUCCACAUCUCCAACAACACCGUGGUUCAGAGCAAGGGCUCUCUCCGUUUGAACCACAGGGCUUGGGACAGGACAGGUGUUGUGUGUUCAGUAUAUCAAGCCUAGAAAGAUGAGUUAAUCUUGGAAGGAAACACUACCACACCUGCUCUGAGUUCAGCGGUAGUUACAAGCAAGAAUGUAAGGAAAGUUUUAGAUGGUGUCGGUGUUUCUGAAAAAAGAAACGGUGCGGCUGGCUGAUGAC